GGGGCUUAGCUAUCAAGAUUGUUUAGGGUAGAUUUGAGAAAUACAUUUCUAUAUUACUCCUAUAUAGCUAUCUUCUUUUCCUUUCCAAUUACAUAAGAGUGCAAUUAUUACAAAACUGAAUAAACAAAAUUACAACUAGCAGUGAACUCUUUCAAAAGUCAGCUAGACAGUAAGAUCCAUGUUUGGAGAUGAAAUUAAGAGCUUUAAAGUUUCUAGACACAUUGCCCUAAAAAAAGGUUCUAAACCCUAUGUUGAACCAGGCC
rnacentral:lncRNA from 1 species